rnacentral:rRNA from 1 species
CAAUAGCGUAUAUUUAAGUUGUUGCAGUUAAAAAGCUCGUAGUUGGAUUUCGGUUAAGAGCGACCGGUCCGCCGUUUGGUGUGCACUGGUUGGUUUUAACUUCCUGUAGAGGACGUGCUCUGGGUUUAACGACCUGGACUCGGAGUCUACGUGGUUACUUUGAAAAAAUUAGAGUGUUCAAAGCGGGCUUACGCUUGAAUAUUUCAGCAUGGAAUAACACUAUAGGACUCCUGUCCUAUUUCGUUGGUCUCGGGACGGGAGUAAUGAUUAAGAGGAACAGUUGGGGGCAUUCGUAUUUCAUUGUCAGAGGUGAAAUUCUUGGAUUUAUGAAAGACGGACUUCUGCGAAAGCAUUUGCCAAGGAUGUUUUCAUUAA